rnacentral:rRNA from 1 species
UACGGAGGAUCCAAGCGUUAUCCGGAAUCAUUGGGUUUAAAGGGUCCGUAGGCGGUUUUGUAAGUCAGUGGUGAAAGCCCAUCGCUCAACGGUGGAACGGCCAUUGAUACUGCAAGACUUGAAUUACUAGGAAGUAACUAGAAUAUGUAGUGUAGCGGUGAAAUGCUUAGAGAUUACAUGGAAUACCAAUUGCGAAGGCAGGUUACUACUAGUGGAUUGACGCUGAUGGACGAAAGCGUGGGGAGCAAACAGG